rnacentral:rRNA from 1 species
UGGGGAAUAUUGCACAAUGGGCGCAAGCCUGAUGCAGCCAUGCCGCGUGUGUAGAAGCAAGGCCGUUCGGGUUGAUAAAGCACUUUUCAGCGAGGAGGAAGGUGGUGAACUUAAUACGUUCAUCAAUUGACGUUACUCGCAGAAGAAGCACCGGCUAACUCCGUGCCAGCAGCCGCGGUAAUACGGAGGGUGCAAGCGUUAAUCGGAAUUACUGGGCGUAAAGCGCACGCAGGCGGUUUGUUAAGUCAGAUGUGAAAUCCCCGGGCUCAACCUGGGAACUGCAUUUGAAACUGGCAAGCUAGAGUCUCGUAGAGGGGGGUAGAAUUCCAGGUGUAGCGGUGAAAUGCGUAGAGAUCUGGAGGAAUACCGGUGGCGAAGGCGGCCCCCUGGACGAAGACUGACGCUCAGGUGCGAAAGCGUGGGGAGCAAGCAGGAUUAGAUACCCCGGUAGUCCACGCUGUAAACGAUGUCGAUUUUGGAGGUUGUGCCCUUGAGGCGUGGCUUCCGGAGCUAACGCGUUAAAUCGACCGCCUGGGGAGUACGGCCGCAAGGUUAAAACUCAAAGGAAUUGACGGGGUCAUGCUGUUUCCU